UACGAAGGGGGCUAGCGUUGCUCGGAAUCACUGGGCGUAAAGGGCGCGUAGGCGGCCAUUCAAGUCGGGGGUGAAAGCCCAGGGCUCAACCCUGGAAUUGCCUUCGAUACUGUUUGGCUAGAGACCGGAAGAGGUAAGUGGAACUGCGAGUGUAGAGGUGAAAUUCGUAGAUAUUCGCAAGAACACCAGUGGCGAAGGCGGCUUACUGGCCCGGUACUGACGCUGAGGUGGCGAAAGCGUGGGGAGCAAACAGG
rnacentral:rRNA from 1 species